rnacentral:sRNA from 1 species
CUGUUGUGGCGAAAUCAGGUGCACGUGGGAGUCAAUGGCACCAGCGGUCACGAUUAAGCCCUCACCGGCAAUGAUCUCGGUGCUGGGGCCAAUGAUCAUGGUGACAUGGGGCUGCACUUGGGGGUUACCCGCCUUACCUAAGGCGGCAAUACGACCGUUCUUGAUGCCGAUGUCGCACUUAAAGAUGCCUGCUGCAUCCAGCACCACGGCGUUGGUGAUCACCGUAUCCAUGCUGAUUUCAGCCAGCGCUUGGCUUUGGCCCAUGCCAUCACG